AAGUCGUGACAAGGUUUCCGUAGGUGAACCUGCGGAAGGAUCAUUACUGAGUUAGGGUUCUUUUGAGCCCGAACCUCCAACCCUUUGUAUAAAACACUUUGUUGCUUUGGCAGGCCCGUCUGAAAUUCCUUCGGGAUUUGACGACCGCCGGGGGGCGUUUAGUCACCUCUGGUCAGUGCUUGCCGAUAGCCUAUUCAAAAUUCUUUAUUAAAUAAUGUCUGAAAAAUUAUAAUUAAAUAUAAUUAAAA
rnacentral:misc_RNA from 1 species